rnacentral:lncRNA from 1 species
GGGCGGGGCGGGGGCGGGGCGCGGCGGGCCCACGUCCCUGCCGGCGGCCGCGGCGCUGCUCACAGGGUGACACGUCUGCGGGGUGAGUGAGUGGCGUUGGCAGCCUGUCAAUCCCUCACGGAGCGGCCAUCAAACACCAUAAAACACACACCGGCACCGCGCCGCCGGCCCCAUAAAUCCCGGCCGGCCGGUAUUUUUGCACAUUGCUUUGCAGAGAAUUUUUGGACAAGUGGGGAAAGACAUAAAAAGCAACAAUAAAAAUAAAAAAGGGGAAAAAACAAAAAAAAAAAAAAAAAAGCUUUGGAGCAAGAUUGUACCAAGGAAAGAAAACUGCAAAGAAACCU